rnacentral:tRNA from 1 species
AUCCACUGCUAGCCACUAUCCAUCUUUGUUAAGAACGCCUGUAAAUUAAGGCAAUAUUGAGGCGAUACGCAC